GUACGUUCAUCGCAUUCGCCUACCAGGACAAGUUACCAGUAGUGAAUGACGACGCAGGCAACCUACUCAUGGAACGGGGGGUAGGU
ncrna:unclassified sequences Glutamine-II riboswitch (downstream peptide RNA)